AUUGAACGCUGGCGGCAGGCCUAACACAUGCAAGUCGAAUGGUAACAGGAAACAGCUUGCUGUUUCGCUGACGAGUGGCGGACGGGUGAGUAAUGUCUGGGAAACUGCCUGAUGGAGGGGGAUAACUACUGGAAACGGUAGCUAAUACCGCAUAACGUCGCAAGACCAAAGAGGGGGACCUUCGGGCCUCUUGCCAUCAGAUGUGCCCAGAUGGGAUUAGCUAGUAGGUGGGGUAACGGCUCACCUAGGCGACGAUCCCUAGCUGGUCUGAAAGGAUGACCAGCCACACUGGAACUGAGACACGGUCCAGACUCCUACGGGAGGCAGCAGUGGGGAAUAUUGCACAAUGGGCGCAAGCCUGAUGCAGCCAUGCCGCGUGUAUGAAGAAGGCCUUCGGGUUGUAAAGUACUUUCGGCGGGGAGGAAGGGAGUAAAGUUAAUACCUUUGCUCAUUGACGUUACCCGCAGAAGAAGCACCGGCUAACUCCGUG
rnacentral:rRNA from 1 species